GACGAACGCUGGCGGCGUGCCUAAUACAUGCAAGUCGAGCGAACAGACGAGGAGCUUGCUCCUGGGACGUUAGCGGCGGACGGGUGAGUAACACGUGGGUAACCAACCUAUAAGACUGGGACAACUUCGGGAAACCGGCGCCAAGAGCGGGUAAUAUUUCGAACCGCAUGGUUCGAUAGGGAAAGAUGGCUUUGCUGUCACUUAUAGAUGGACCUGCGCCUUAUUGGCUAGUUGGUACGGGAAGGGCUUACAAAGGCAGAGAUACGUACCGCACCUGAGAGCGUCGACGGCUAGACUGGAACUGAGACUCGUCCCACACUCCUGCGCGGGGCCGCAGUAGGAACUCUUCCGGAAGGCGCGAGUGCCUGAUGUUGCAACGCCGCGUGAGUGCUGAUGGUCUUCUGACCGUAAAACGCUGUUAUUAGUGGAGUUCAAACGUGUAAGUAACUGAGCACGUCAUGACGGUACCUGGUCAGAAAGCCACGGCUAACUUCGUG
rnacentral:rRNA from 1 species